rnacentral:rRNA from 1 species
AUGGAGUUGCCAUCUAACAUUGGCAAUACUCUUUCUAAACUUAUGGCAUUAUCCUUGUCCAAUAACAUGUUUCAAGGCCGAAUCCCAGACUCCCUAGGUAACAUUCUACGACUCGAGCUGAUAGAUUUCUCAUCCAACAAUUUCAAUAAUCAAGUACCUAGUUCCUUGGGGAGGCUUAUUAACCUGAACUAUUUAGGACUUGCGGAGAACAAGCUGGAAGAGAAUGACAACAAAAGUUGGGGAUUCUUAGAUGCGUUGAGCAAUUGCAGUUAUCUGGAAGUGCUCUCCUUACAAAGCAAUCAGCUGAAAGGAUCCAUACCCAAAUCAGUUGGAAAGUUGUCACCAUGCCUUGCAUAUCUAUCGUUAGAAAGAAAUUACUUGUCUGGGACAGUUCCAGACAGUAUAGGGAACCUUACUGGUUUAACUCAGUUAUCAUUAGCUCAAAACAAUCUCUCCGGUCCAAUUGGAGCAUGGAUUGAAAAAUUCAAGAACCUAGGAGUGUUAGCUCUCGCAGAGAAUAACUUUGCUGGGCCGAUUCCAUCCUCCAUUGGCAGGCUUACAAAGUUGACAAAGCUCUUCCUGAGUCGUAAUAUAUUUGAAGGUCCCAUACCACCCAGUUUAGGAAACCUUCCAUUUCUGUCAAGAUUGGAUCUUAGUGAGAACAACCUAAACGGGUAUAUUCCUUAA